CCGCGAGGGACACUGCCAAGCUAGAGGGUGGGUGAGGUCAGCGGUAUUCCUGGGGUAGGGGCGAAAUCCAUUGAUCCCAGGAGGACCACCAGUGGCGAAGGCUGCUGACCAGAACACGCCUGACGGUGAGGGACGAAAGCUGGGGUAGCGAAUCGGAUUAGAUACCCGAGUAGUCCCAGCCGUAAACGAUGCAGGCUAGGUGUUGGGAUGGCCACGCGCCGCCCCAGUGCCACAGGGAAGCCAUUAAGCCUGCCGCCUGGGGAGUACGGCCGCAAGGCUGAAACUUAAAGGAAUUAGCGGGGGAGCACCACCAGGCGUGAAGCCUGCGGUUUAAUUGGAGUCAACGCCGGGAACCUUACCGGGAGCGACAGCAGAGUGAAGGCCAGGUUGAAGGUCUUGCCGG
rnacentral:rRNA from 1 species